rnacentral:tRNA from 1 species
GGCUCCGUGGCGCAAUGGAUAGCGCAUUGGACUUCUAGCGGGUUGAAGGCAUUCAAAGGUUCCGGGUUCGAGUCCCGGCGGAGUCG